rnacentral:rRNA from 1 species
GAUUGACCUCGGAUCAGGUAGGGAUACCCGCUGAACUUAAGCAUAUCAAUAAGCGGAGGAAAAGAAACCAACAGGGAUUGCCUCAGUAACGGCGAGUGAAGCGGCAACAGCUCAAAUUUGAAAUCUGGCUCCUUCGGGGCCCGAGUUGUAAUUUGUAGAGGACGUUUCGGGUGCGGCCCGGUCUAAGUCCCUUGGAACAGGGCGUCAUAGAGGGUGAGAAUCCCGUAUGUGACCGGUGACCAACCCCAUGUGAAACCCCUUCGACGAGUCGAGUUGUUUGGGAAUGCAGCUCAAAAUGGGUGGUAAAUUCCAUCUAAAGCUAAAUACUGGCCAGAGACCGAUAGCGCACAAGUAGAGUGAUCGAAAGAUGAAAAGCACUUUGGAAAGAGAGUCAAACAGUACGUGAAAUUGUUGAAAGGGAAGCGCUGGCAACCAGACCUGCCCCGGGCGAUCAGCGGGUGUUCUCACCCGUGCACUCGCCCGCGAUCAGGCCAGCAUCGGUUUCGGCGGUCGGAUACAGACCCGGGGAACGUGGCUCUCUUCGGGGAGUGUUAUAGCCCCGGGUGCAAUGCGGCCAGCCGGGACCGAGGACCGCGCUUCGGCUAGAUGCU